UACAGAGGGUGCGAGCGUUAAUCGGAAUUACUGGGCGUAAAGCGUGCGUAGACGGUUAUUUAAGUCGGAUGUGAAAGCCCCGGGCUCAACCUGGGAAUUGCAUUCGAGACUGAAUAGCUAGGGUACGGUAGAGGGAAGUGGAAUUUCCGGUGUAGCGGUUAAAUGCGUAGAUAUCAGGAGGAACACCGGUGGUGUAGA
rnacentral:rRNA from 1 species